AACGCACAUUGCGCCCCUUGGCAUUCCUUGGGGCAUGCCUGUUCGAGCGUCAUUUAGAACCCUCAAGCACAGCUUGGUGUUGGGUGACUGUCCCGCCCCCGCGCGCGGACUCGCCCCAAACCCAUUGGCGGCAGGCGCUACGGCCCGGAGUGCAGCAGAAUUGCGCCCCCCGCCCGCGGCGCCGCUCCCAGAAGCGACCCCAUCAGUUUGACCUCGGAUCAGGUAGGGAUACCCGCUGAACUUAA
rnacentral:misc_RNA from 1 species